AAACCGGGUCAUCACGUAAACUCUUAGCAAUGACGCGCGCUGGCAUGAAGGGCAAGGUGCUCGGCAAGGAGAAGAAGGCUGCCAUCAUCGAUGCCCGCAAGAAGGACGCGGAGAGUCGCAAGAACCGCGAUGACAAGCGCUGGAAGCGCGUGCUCGCGAACAUGGACGAGGAGAAGCGCAAGAAGUUCCACGGCGUCGGCAACACGGCGAAGAACUCGCGCGUGCGCGGUGCGACCCGCGCGUCUCUGCGCAAGCGCACUGGCCGCAAGCCGGACGCUGUGAGCAUGGAGGCGACGAUCCACCUGUCGAAGCUGCUGAAGAAGAAGACCUUCUCGAAGCGCGCUCCGCUGGCGAUCAAGCGCAUCAAGGCGUUUGUGGGUCGUCUGAUGAAGACGAAGGACAACCGCAUUGACGCGUCGCUGAACACGUACAUCUGGCACAAGGGCGUGAAGGGCGUCCCUGGCCGCGUGCGCGUGCUGAUCCAGCGCAAGUCGGAGACGACAGAGGGCAACAAGCACAAGCACUUCUACACGGUUAUCUCCAACGUGCCGGUUGCGUCCUUCAAGGGCCUGACCACGAAGACGGUGGAGCAGUAAUCGUGCGCGUCUGUCCUCAGCCUCUCGGUGUUAUGCGUGUGCUCGGUUUCGUUUCGAAUCCGUUUCGCUUUUUCUCCUUUCUGUCGUUUUACGCUUGUUUUGUUGGGUUUCAGCGAGGACGUGCUCUGCAGGGGUGACUUCCCUGCGGUGUGUGUGUGUGCACGCUUAUGCGAGGCGUGCACCGUGUCCAGUGAGCGUCUCUGGCGAUAUGUCCUCCCACUCGCAGAUGCUGCACAGAGAGACACGCCUACACGGGUCCCUCAUGAUGCUCUUGUAGGUACAACUUGCGCUGUUAGUAUGCCCUUCCCUCCCCUAAAGAAAUAUCACAGCUCUGAGAGCCGCCAAGGCGGAGGACGUGCGAAAGGGCCCGCAGGCCACUGCGAGCGCUUGCCGAGCCUUCCACCCUCCCUCCCCCUUUUCCCUGUUCUCUUCAUCGAGAGAAGCGGAUGCGCGCUGCUAGGGCAGCGACCAGCGAGGUCGCGGAGGUCAAGGAGAGCGAGAUGGCGCUUUCGUUGGCGGUCGCGUCGGUGUCGAAGGCGGAUGAGAAGAACCUCCUUCUCUUUGCUCAGGCAGGAAGAGCCGCAGUGAACGAAGAAGCCUUUCGGGCCGCGUAGCCGCUUCUGCGAGCUGUUCGAGCUCCACCGGCCUGUGCUGUGAAGACGUGCCGCUAAGUCGGCAGAGCCCGUCUUCCACUGCGUCUCCUUUGGCAAUGAUUGCUCGUCCCUCCUGCUCUACGCUUAUCCCCUGUCACCGUUUUCUCCGUACCCCUUCUUUUACGUGCCUUUGGCUUCAUUGCUCCCUCUCUUGGUGGCUCGAUGCGCACGCCUUUGGCGUUGGCGUGCUCAAACACGUGCGCACAUACACAUACACCCUCUUUUUCCGCACAUGCACGAAACAACUUUUUUCACCCAG
rnacentral:misc_RNA from 1 species